AUGUGGACCAGUCUCUCUGUCUGCCGUUGGACCUGUGUGCUCACCCUGGCUCUGGUGAUGCUCUUCUCUGCAUCACAAGGGCGUGCCUCCGGUCUGACUGUCGACUGCUGUAGGAACCUAACCUCCGACAGGAUCUGGAAAAUCAAAAAAUGUUUUGAACAGAAACCACGACAGGACUGCGAGCACGCCUUCCUGAUUCUAAACAGGAGGGGUCGAUCGUGCAUCAAACCAGAUGCUGAGUGGCUACAAGAGAAGAUAAGGACGGAAAAGCUCGUCUGUCCUCCUGAUUUGACGUUUUAAAAGAAGUCCUGGAAGAAGAAAAGCAAAGCAGCUACUCUGAACAUUUUCUGCUAAUUUACUAUUUAUUAUUUAACGUAAAUAUCUAUUUAAGUUAUUUUUGUAUUUAACUUUAUACUGCUAUAAAAACUGAAUUGUGUGGCAUUAUUUUGUAAAGUUAAGGACAGUAAAGUCAGAGCUGUUUGUUUUUAAACCUGGAACCAAAAAUAAAUCAUGUUAAACGGAUUUAAAAUGGGACUCUUGUUUUUCUACAUGUAGGUAUAGAUGUGUGUGUGUGUGUGUGUGUGUGUGUGUGUGUGUGUGUGUGUGUGUGUGUGUGUGUGUGUGUGUGUGUGCUGACUCAGAGUCACAUUUCUUUCAAAGCAGACUGGAAGGGUUGUAAUGGAGCAGGUUCAAAAAAGAACAUUGGGCCAGUAGCUUCUCUGUAGUUUAAAUCCUGCAGACAA
rnacentral:lncRNA from 1 species